CCAAACUCUUCCAACCUUUUCCAUUGCCCAGUUCCAAAGCUGCUGUCAUAUUUUCAGGUAUCUUUAUAGCAAUACCCUACUCCCUGGCAACAAUUUCCUGUUGUAGUCCAUUUUUCAUUGCUAUAAAGAAAUAUCUGAGGCUGGGUAAUUUAUUUCAGAAAUGUUUAUUAGGCCCAUGAUUCUGAUAGCUGGAAAUUUCAAGAUUGGGCAUCUGCAGCUGGCAAGGGCCUCGGGAUGCUUCUAUUCAUGGUAGAAGGUGAAAGGGAGCUGGCGUGUGCAUGGAUGACAUGGUGAGAGAGGAAGCAAGAGAGAUAGUGGGGAGAUGCCAGGCUCUUUGCAACAACCAGCUCUUGUGGGGAAUAAUAGGAUUAGGACUCACUCACUCCCUAGGGAGGGCAUUAAUUUAUUCAUGAGGGAUUCUCCCUCAUGACUCAAAUACCUCCUGUAAGGUUCCAUCUCAAAUUUCAAUAUGAGUUUUAUUGAGAGCAAACAUCCAAACUGGAGCACCUCAGAACACUUUUCUCCUUGGAAAUGUCUGUCCUUAUCAAGUAGUCAACAAAUAUUGACUGAGUGUUACUCUCAGGUAGACACAGAGGUGACCAUGACAGAUUCAUUCCUGUUCAGAAGUGACACAGAUAAUAACAUGUAAAGUAAUGAAGUUCAUUUUAUAUACUGUAAAGGAUAAGUCAGAGGUCAGAUCAUGUCACACCUCUGCUCACAACCUACCGGUGAAUCUCAGUUUCAUGCAAAAUUAACUUCAGAGUUUUUACCUCAUUAUUCAAGGUCUGGUAAGAUUUUCACACACUCUCUUCAUCUCUGGUUUGAUGUCCUGUUCCUUUACCCCCUUAUUCACUGCAUGUCAACUACAAGGGCUUUCUUCCUGUUCCUUGAAGUCACACUCUGCCUUUAGGGUAUCUGCACUUGCUGUUUCCUCUUCUCAGACUGAUUUUUCAUAGAUAUCUACAUGGAUAACUCCCUCUCCUACUUUAUUUCCUUGCUAAAUAUUUUUGUCAACUUCUCAAUGAAGCUUACCUUGACCACCUUCUCAAAACGGCAACCCACCUCCAAGUUGGUUCUUCCUCCUCCUCAUUACUAGGCACUAUUGUCUCUAAUACUCACUACCUGCUAACAUACUUACUUACUAUUUUUGCCUCUCUCUCCUUCCAUUAGAAUCUAAGCUUCAUGAGGGCAGAUAUUUUUGCUCAUUUUGUUCAAUGAUUUAGCUCAAGGACUUUUAACGGUAGCUAGCACACAGUAAACAUUCAGUAAAUAGCUGAGAGAAUGAAUAAGGGCUGUAAAGAAAAGAAAACAUGUUGUUAUAAUGUGUGUGCCUGUGUGAAGUACAUAGCUGUGUAUGUGAGAUAGCCUAAGUGCAUGCAUGUAUGUUUUUGUGUGUGCACAUGUGACUGUGGGAUGUAUGUAUAGCUGUUAUGUGUGUGCGGUUCUGUGUGUAAAGACAUGUGUGUAAGGUUGUGCAUGUUUGUGCCCAUGUGUGCCUAUGUGUCAGUACAUGGAUGUAUGUGAGACUGUGUAUGUGUACAUGUGUGCAAGUGUGUGUAGAGCUGUAUGCGCAGGUGUACAGGUGUUUAUGUAUACUUACAUGCAUGCAUGUGUGUUGGUAGAUGUGGAUGUGUGUGAAUGUAUGUGUGAGACUGUGUAUGUAACUAUGUGUGUGACUGUCAUGUAUAUGUAGCUCUGUAGUUAAGUGUAUGUCUAUGUAUCUGUUUAUGAGUUUGGCAUGUGCAUAAGAUUGUAAGUGUAACUGUGUGUAUUCAUGUGUGUGAGUGUCUAGAAGUGUGACUAGAUAUUUGUGUGUGCUUGCAUGUGUGAGUGUCUAUGUGUGGCAGUGAAACUGCAGAUGUGUGUGGCUGUAUCUAUAUUUGUGUGUGUGUGCAUGUGUCUGAGUGUGUGUAAGUCCUAAAUAGCACUCACACUAUUUACAGUGGUCUGAAAACACCUCUCUGGGUGCUCCUUUGCACCUGGCCACUGGGGACACUGCCAAGUCAUGAUGCUGGACUUUGCUGACUUUCUUUUCCAUUCUUUCUGUUUUUCAAAUGUUGACCUUUAGACACAUUUCAGGACAGCACAUUCCUGUGGGAAAUCUGUGAGGUGGAAAAUCAAAAUUCUCCUGAUGACUGUUUAUAAAGAAUAACGGCUAGCUCAUGUCUUCAGUGUUUUAUAGAAGUGCUCACAUGUAAUCUAAACAAGAACUCUACAAGAGAGGUAUCCAGAGCCACAUUUUAUAGAUAAGGAAAUUGAGGCUCAGAGAGGACUAGAAAUUUGGCUAAGCUCCUGCAGCUGAGUUGGGGGCUGCAUCUGACAAGUGGCCGUGGUUUCAAGUCUCUGGAGUCCCAUUUUUUUCUCUUCCAUGGAGUUUGUUUGCUGCAGUUUGAGGAGCCGAGGCAUAUGAUAAAUACCAGCAUGUGGAAACUGAGGCUCAGACAGUUCAAGUCAGCCACCCAAGGAGGUAAGUGGCACCACAAAACCUGAACCCAGGUCUGGUUCACAUCACGUCUAGCUCUUAAGCACUCUGCCGAUGCCCCAACACCUACAUCCUCAGUGUCUGAAUUGAAAAAUAUGAGAAAAUGAGAAACAAAUGCAGGUUUUGGUGGUAUCGGGCCUGGCAUUCGAAUCCCAGCUCUGCCACUUACAGCUGUGCAAGUUUGGAUGAGUGACUCCAUCUUUCUGAGCCUCAGAUCUCUCUUCUGUAAAAUGGGGAUCACCAGGCGAUUGUUUCUGUCUCAGGGCCUUUGAACCUGCUCUUCUGUCUCUGGGACAGUGUCCUCCCCGACCCCCACAUCUGCACAGCUCGCUCCCUCACCUUUCGGUUUGCUCAAACGUGGUCCUCGCAAACCCCUUCCUGGCUACCCUAUUUAAAAUCCUGCACCACCAUUCCGUAGUCCCUAUUCACUACUUGUACUUUAUUUUCCUCCUUAGCACUGACACUGUCCGACAUACUCUAAUUUUUAAAAUUAGAUUUGUGCAAAAGUAAUUGCGGUUUUUACCAUCAAAAGGAAUGGCAAAAACCGCAAUUGCUUUUGUACCAACCUAAUAGUUCUUUGUUUGUUAUCCCUCUUUUCACAAGGUUGCCAUUUCCAGAAGUCAGGGGUUUCUGUCUCUUUCAUUCACUGCUGUAUCCUCAGUGCCUAGAACUGUGCUGGGUACAGAGUAGGAAUAGAAUCAUUUUUUGCUAAAUGAAGGGAUGAAUGAAAGAUACCUACUUUAUUGCUUUUUGCGGGGCUUAAAUGAGAUAAUGUCUAGUAAGCCCACACUGAAGUUCAACAGUUAAGAAAGAGCUCAACCAGUGGUAGUGGUUUACUAUCAUCAUCAUCACCACCACCACCCUCAUAAUCCUCUUCAUUACUGGAAGUGUAUAAGGUGAGCUGUGGAUUCUCAGGCAGAAACCCUGAAAUGAAAGGAUCAGUGUUCCCAUCUUGGCAUAUCUUGGACUUCCUUGAUUCUCUCCUUACCUUAAAGAUGUUGCUUGUGAGGCUGGACACGGUGGCUCACGCCUGUAAUCCCAGCACUUUGGGAAGCCUAGGUGGGUGGAUCACUUGA
rnacentral:lncRNA from 1 species